rnacentral:rRNA from 1 species
GUAGGUGGCAAGCGUUGUCCGGAAUUAUUGGGCGUAAAGCGCGCGCAGGUGGGUUCUUUAAGUCUGAUGUGAAAGCCCCCGGGCUCAACCGGGGAGGGUCAUUGGAAACUGGGGAACUUGAGUGCAGGAGAGGAAAGUGGAAUUCCACGUGUAGCGGUGAAAUGCGUAGAUAUGUGGAGGAACACCAGUGGCGAAGGCGACUUUCUGGCCUGUAACUGACACUGAGGCGCGAAAGCGUGGGGAGCAAACAGGAUUAGAUACCCUGGUGGUCCACGCCGUAAACGAUGAGUGCUAAGUGUUGGGGGGUUUCCGCCCCUCAGUGCUGCAGCUAACGCAUUAAGCACUCCGCCUGGGGAGUACGGUCGCAAGACUG